rnacentral:tRNA from 2 species
GUGGGUGUAGCUCAAUUGGUUAGAGCACCUGAUUGUGGUUCAGGAGGUUGUGGGUUCGAGACCCAUCACUCACCCA